GUCAGAGUAGGAGCAGCACAUACGUGAUGGCGAAGUGCUCAGUGAAUAUGUGUCCUCUUGAUCUGUAAAAUCCCCUACUGGAAGAGAAAACGUUUUGGGUUUAGGAAGGUUACUUUGUGCAUGAAAAGGGCUCACUGGAACAGCACAGAUGGAGCGCUGGUUCGAGGAGUUGUGAUAAAGGUUAGUGAAGAGAUGAGUGGAAAGUGCUGAGGACAAGACAGCAUGUAAAGGCAUGCCUGUGAUAAACGCCAGCCAUAUGGUGACCGUCACCCCAGAAAUGCCAGUGGGAGGCCCUGACCAGCCACAGCAACGCUCCUGGCCCCAGGCUGUGUUGAGGGAAAUACAGUGUGUUUCCACCAUGACUCAACUCACCACCACCUUUGCAAUGUUCCUGUAGAAACAGGCCGGAGUACGGGAGCCACUUCCUCCUCCCCGAGAAGCCCUGCUCCAGCAGGGCGGAGGUCACCCCAUGGUGCCCUGUGUGCCGGAAGGCCACCCUCCUGGCUGAGUCACUUCCGUGUGAGGAGACAUCAUGUUUUGUUGAUCCCUUCAUCACUGAACGGACAUUUGAAUUGUUUCUACUUUGGGUGUCAU
ensembl:lncRNA